GGUUGCCUUACUUUGAUUAGGCCUUUACUGAAUGAACAUCUGCAGUGUGUCAAUCACAAGAAGAAACAAGAUUCUCCUGCACAUCUUUCUUACUUUCUCUGUGGGGGAGAUACAUUAAACUAUAGUGGUAGCUAAAAACCAAAAAUGGGUGUGUUUGUUCAGAUGAUUUCCCUGUUUAAAUACAGAGAACAAUAUAAAGUUAAAAUAUUUCAGCUAAAGUAAAUUACUAAGACCUCAACUUUUGCCGCUCACUGCCUUUCUGAUUGGUUCGUAAAAACCAUAUGUAUAUUUCAGUGUGGGCAGAUGUAACUGUUAGUUAUACACCAGUCAGCAGCCCUUGUUGUUUUUGCACAAAAAUACGUUGCUUUCCCUUCUGUAUAUCUGAUGCUUUCUGCCUCUCUCUAUGUGUGAGAGACAGAGAGAAAGAAAGAUCCAUACAUUAAAUCACUGGCUAAGUUUCUGUUGAACCUUCUUGGUAUCAGUGACAAGUUCAGAGCUACCUUUUUUAAAACUCAAGCUACUCCAGAUGAUGAAGUAUGUUUCUAAAUUUCCUAUGGUUGGUAAAGAGCAAGGUUGUCAUAUAUACUGUAAAAAACAACAACAACAAAAACAGGUAAAUAACAGAAAUCUCUAUACUGAAUAGGGAGGUCAAGGAAGGCCUCACCAUCACACUCUCUAAGCAGGGCCGUUCAGGUAAAACCUAAAUGAAUGAGUAAAGAAAUGAAUGGAGAAGAUGGAGAAACAGCUAGGGAAGGCGGUUCUAGGAAAGGACACACCAAAUUCAAAGGCCUGAGAGAAUGUUAAUUUCUUUAGUUGAAGCCUUGCCUAUUUGAAGCUUUUCUGGCAAAAUAAAAUUUCACUAUAGAAAAUAAGAGAAAUAUGGGGCUGGGGUUGUGGCUCAGUGGUAGAGUGCUCACCUAGCACGUGUG
rnacentral:lncRNA from 1 species